rnacentral:rRNA from 1 species
AGUGAACGCUGGCGGUAGGCCUAACACAUGCAAGUCGAACGGCAGCACAGUAAGAGCUUGCUCUUACGGGUGGCGAGUGGCGGACGGUUGAGGAAUACAUCGGAAUCUACUUUUUCGUGGGGGAUAACGUAGGGAAACUUACGCUAAUACCGCAUACGACCUACGGGUGAAAGCAGGGGAUCUUCUGACCUUGCGCGAUUGAAUGAGCCGAUGUCGGAUUAGCUAGUUGGCGGGGUAAAGGCCCACCAAGGCGACGAUCCGUAGCUGGUCUGAGAGGAUGAUCAGCCACACGGGAACUGAGAAAGGGUCCAGACUCCUACGGGAGGCAGCAGUGGGGAAUAUUGGACAAUGGGGGAAAGCCUGAUCCAGCCAUACCGCGUGGGUGAAGAAGGACUUCGGGUUGUAAAGCCCUUUUGUUGGGAAAGAAAAGCAGCAGGUUAAUACCCCGCUGUUCUGACGGUACCCAAAGAAUAAGCACCGGCUAACUUCGCG